GAUUGGAUACAAUUCGUAUGGUCAUUAGCUAACACAAUUGGCCUGCAACGCGUACAGUUAGCUUUGGCUCUAAGCCCUAGUCAUCCAGCAGACAAAUGUCGAUGCUCAGCCUAAAGUCUGGUAGAUAAGGCUGCGGCACAGUUGUAGAGUCACUGGAGUUGCACAGAGCGAGAGACUGCGAACUGAACGUGGCAAAUGUCUGCAGACGAUUGAACGUCGCUUGCAACGGCCAACGCAACUCAACACCUGGCCAACAGUGGCUAGCGCCGCGCACAGCCUGCUGACAGACACUCAAAGCGGGAGAAGCAGGUCAAAAUCUGCCACAAGUUCACCAGGUGCAAAACAGCGGGAUAACUACCUGAAGUCACGACCAAACGAGAUUGGCAGAAAAUCAAGGUUUUCGCAAUUUGAAUGAAGUCGCAGCAGCGAACGAACGUUUGAUAGAGAAACUGAAAUUCAAAUUUAG